rnacentral:rRNA from 1 species
AUUGAACGCUGGCGGCAGGCCUAACACAUGCAAGUCGAACGGUAACAGGAAGCAGCUUGCUGCUUCGCUGACGAGUGGCGGACGGGUGAGUAAUGUCUGGGAAGCUGCCUGAUGGAGGGGGAUAACUACUGGAAACGGUAGCUAAUACCGCAUAAUGUCGCAAGACCAAAGAGGGGGACCUUCGGGCCUCUUGCCAUCGGAUGUGCCCAGAUGGGAUUCGCUUGUUGGUGGGGUAACGGCUCACCAAGGCGACGAUCCCUAGCUGGUCUGAGAGGAUGACCAGCCACACUGGGACUGGGACACGGUCCAGACUCCUACGGGAGGCAGCAGUGGGGAAUAUUGCACAAUGGGCGCAAGCCUGAUGCAGCCAUGCCGCGUGUAUGAAGAAGGCCUUCGGGUUGUAAAGUACUUUCAGCGGGGAGGAAGGGAGUAAAGUUAAUACCUUUGCUCAUUGACGUUACCCGCAGAAGAAGCACCGGCUAACUCCGUG